rnacentral:rRNA from 1 species
UUCAUUCGCGGAGUAAUUUGCGGGUGCCCUGUGCAUGGGUGUGACGUCAGGGUCAGUUUGUAUGCUGCGGGAGAUGGUCAGUGAGGAGGUGCGUCACUUCGGUGAAAGUUAUAUCUCGCUGUCUAGUAGCCGUGGUUGAGACUGAGGUGCCUACAACAUGCCUUAAGGUUCCGUGUUGUCUCGUGUUGGUGACUGCUUUGAUAGCUUGCUAUGUCUGUGGUUUAUCAGUGCGAUUGAUGAUGCGGAUAACUUUUGCUGUUCGGGACUCUGGCGAAAUGGAGCGAUACGACCCGUCUUGAAACACGGACCAAGGAGUCUAACAUGUGUGCAAGUAUUAGGGCGUGGAAACCCAAAUGCGUAAUGAAAGUAAAUGCUGCUUAUGCAGCUGUGGUAGGAAAGGGCUGUCAAGGUCCUGGCACUAUCGACCGAUCAUGAGCCUACGGGCAAAAGAUUUGAGUAUGAGCAUAUAUGUUGGUACCCGAAAGAUGGUGAACUAUG